rnacentral:rRNA from 1 species
UACGUAGGGUGCAAGCGUUGUCCGGAAUUAUUGGGCGUAAAGAGCUCGUAGGCGGAUCUUUUAAGUCAGAGGUGAAAGCCUGGAGCUCAACUCCAGAACUGCCUUUGAUACUGGGGAUCUCGAGUCCGGGAGAGGUGAGUGGAACUGCGAGUGUAGAGGUGAAAUUCGUAGAUAUUCGCAAGAACACCAGUGGCGAAGGCGGCUCACUGGCCCGGUACUGACGCUGAGGUGCGAAAGCGUGGGGAGCAAACAGG